rnacentral:rRNA from 1 species
CCCUUAGAUGUUCGGGGCCGCACGCGCGCUACACUGAAGGAAUCAGCGUGUGUCUGUCCUGGUCCGGAAGGAUCGGGUAACCCGUUGAACCUCCUUCGUGCUAGGGAUUGUGGUUUGCAAUUUUUCCACAUGAACGAGGAAUUCCCAGUAAGCGCAAGUCAUAAGCUUGCGUUGAUUACGUCCCUGCCCUUUGUACACACCGCCCGUCGCUACUACCGAUUGAAUGGUUUAGUGAGGUCCUCGGAUCGGACGCGGUACCGGUCGCCUUCGGGUGGCUGAACCGCUGGCUGAGAAGAUGAUCAAACUUGAUUAUUUAGAGGAAGUAAAAGUCGUAACA